GGGAAGUAUAUUUGAAGUCAUUUGGGCUGCAGUGAAACCAGGAACCUCAUUUGGCAUCAGUGUAUUGAGGGCACUUCGACUGCUGAGGAUUUUCAAAGUAACAAAGUACUGGAAUUCCCUGAGGAAUCUGGUGGUCUCCUUGCUGAACUCCAUGAAGUCCAUCAUCAGUUUGCUUUUCCUGCUGUUCCUGUUCAUCGUGGUGUUUGCUCUGCUGGGGAUGCAGCUCUUUGGAGGACAGUUCAAUUUCCAAGACGAAACUCCGACCACGAAUUUCGACACCUUCCCCGCCGCCAUCCUCACCGUGUUCCAG